AUUAAGAUUUUAUAUCUACUCUGUGUGUGAAUAGUUUUUAUAUUUGUAACAGUCUGUUCACAUGAGGACUGCAGCUUUCAGUUGUUCAGCCAAACAAUGGACAGCAGCAAUGGACGUAUUUCAAGUUAUGAGUAACUUACAAGAAAUGUGUAUCAACAAUCACAUAACUUACCAACAACUUAUGUCCCGCGUAUGCAGGAUGUAUCAGCCAUAUGCUGACAUACGUCAAAAAUAU